AACGAACGCUGGCGGCGUGGAUUAGGCAUGCAAGUCGAGCGCGAAAGGGUAGCAAUAUCCGAGUAGAGCGGCGAACUGGUUAGUAACAGGUGGGCAACGUGCCCUAAAGUUGGGGAUAACUCCGAGAAAUCGGAGCUAAUACCGAAUGUGGCCGUUUGGGCUUCGGCUCGAACGGUUAAAGGCUUCGGUCGCUUUAGGAUCGGCCCG
rnacentral:rRNA from 1 species